rfam:Glossina austeni unplaced genomic scaffold Scaffold68, whole genome shotgun sequence.
UAUAGUUCACAUUACAUAAGCAUAACUGAUCAGGCCUGUACCUGUGGAUGAGGGUGCAUGGCAGUUCUUCAUUCGUAGAAUGAUUUCUCUGAUGAAUUUCGAUAACGAACGAGACUCAAGUGUGUUCAGAAUUAUCGUAUUGAUUAUCGUAUUUAUGGCCUUCUUACUAGCAUAGUAACAUGUGUAAGUGUUUGAUUGUGUUUAUGAAAGUGGAACCAUAACUAUCGGCUUGCUCUAGUUCCUUAAAUAAACAAAUUACCUCUUGCGAGAUUGGGCAAUAGCAGGUCUGUAAUGCCCUUAGAUGCCCUGGGCUGCUCGCACACUACAAUGGAAGUGUUAAUGUGUAUAUGAUAUACCGAUAGGUCCAAGCAAACAGCUGAACCACUUUUAUACUUAGGAUUGUGAACUAAAAUCGUUCACAUGAACGUGCAA